CUGGCUAUUCCUUCCCACAUUUGGAAAGGAAAUGCCACCUCCCCAAAGGAAAAGAACGUGUGGGUAUUAAGAUAUUUCGGAAGCUCGCUCUUCAGGACACUAAAUAUCAACACUACAUCCUUUUGAAAAAGAGCUAGUAAUGAAGAACUAUCUUUGAAGAGAGCUUUAAAGGGCAUCUGAUAACAGCAGGAGUCCUGAAUCUGGUUUCCAAAGACUGACUUGGCUUUCUGCUCUUCUAAAGGAUGGAGCUGUGGGAAGCAUUGGGCUUCUCUGUGGAUGGAGAGGAUGCUAUCCUUCUAAAAGAUCAAGGAGUCACUAAAACGAUGAGCAGGAGGAGUUCAGAGAAACCUGGAAGGACUUUCAUGAACUGAUGAUGAGUGAGAUGAGCAGAACCAGAAGAACAUUAUACACAGUAUCAUCAACAUUAUGUGUUGAUCAACUAUGAUAGACUAGAUUCUCCUCUGCAAUUCAACGGUACAAGAGAGUUCCGAAGGACUCAUGAUGGAAAAAGCUCUCCAAAUCCAGAAAAACAAAAAAGGAACUGUGGAACAUGGAUGCUGAUUGGACCAUACUAUUUCUUUUGUU